UUGGCCUACGGGGGGCAGCAGUGAGGAAUAUUGGUCAAUGGGCUUACGCCUGAACCAGCCAAGUCGCGUGAGGGAAGACUGCCCUAUGGGUUGUAAACCUCUUUUGUCAGGGAGCAACGCCGGCUACGUGUAGCCGGACUGAGAGUACCUGAAGAAAAAGCAUCGGCUAACUCCGUGCCAGCAGCCGCGGUAAUACGGAGGAUGCGAGCGUUAUCCGGAUUUAUUGGGUUUAAAGGGUGCGUAGGCGGCCUGCUAAGUCUGGAGUGAAAGGUACCGGCUCAACCGGUACAGGCUCUGGAAACUGG
rnacentral:rRNA from 1 species